GAAGCGUUUCGUCACCGGUGUGGCGCCUGGACUUCAAAUCCAGUGGACGGUCGAGAGGUCGUCGGUAGGUUCGACUCCUAUACGCUUCC
rnacentral:tRNA from 1 species